rnacentral:rRNA from 1 species
UACGUAGGUGGCAAGCGUUGUCCGGAUUUACUGGGUGUAAAGGGCGUGCAGCCGGGCUGACAAGUCAGAUGUGAAAUCCCGCGGCUCAACCGCGGAACUGCAUUUGAAACUGUCAGUCUUGAGUACCGGAGAGGUCAUCGGAAUUCCUUGUGUAGCGGUGAAAUGCGUAGAUAUAAGGAAGAACACCAGUGGCGAAGGCGGCCUGCUGGACAGUAACUGACGUUGAGGCUCGAAAGCGUGGGGAGCAAACAGG